GAUGAACGCUGGCGGCGUGCCUAAUACAUGCAAGUCGAGCGAACAGACGAGGAGCUUGCUCCUCUGACGUUAGCGGCGGACGGGUGAGUAACACGUGGAUAACCUACCUAUAAGACUGGGAUAACUUCGGGAAACCGGAGCUAAUACCGGAUAAUAUAUUGAACCGCAUGGUUCAAUAGUGAAAGACGGUUUUGCUGUCACUUAUAGAUGGAUCCGCGCCGCAUUAGCUAGUUGGUAAGGUAACGGCUUACCAAGGCAACGAUGCGUAGCCGACCUGAGAGGGGGAUCGGCCACACUGGAACUGAGACACGGUCCAGACUCCUACGGGAGGCAGCAGUAGGGAAUCUUCCGCAAUGGGCGAAAGCCUGACGGAGCAACGCCGCGUGAGUGAUGAAGGUCUUCGGAUCGUAAAACUCUGUUAUUAGGGAAGAACAAAUGUGUAAGUAACUAUGCACGUCUUGACGGUACCUAAUCAGAAAGCCACGGCUAACUAUGUG
rnacentral:rRNA from 1 species